GAUGAACGCUGGCGGCGUGCCUAAUACAUGCCAGUCGAGCGAACGGACGAGAAGCUUGCUUCUCUGAUGUUAGCGGCGGACGGGUGAGUAACACGUGGAUAACCUACCUAUAAGACUGGGAUAACUUCGGGAAACCGGAGCUAAUACCGGAUGAUAUUUUGAACCGCAUGGUUCAAAAGUGAAAGACGGUCUUGCUGUCACUUAUAGAUGGAUCCGCGCUGCAUUAGCUAGUUGGUAAGGUAACGGCUUACCAAGGCAACGAUGCAUAGCCGACCUGAGAGGGUGAUCGGCCACACUGGAACUGAGACACGGUCCAGACUCCUACGGGAGGCAGCAGUAGGGAAUCUUCCGCAAUGGGCGAAAGCCUGACGGGGCAACGCCGCGUGAGUGAUGAAGGUCUUCGGAUCGUAAAACUCUGUUAUUAGGGAAGAACAUAUGUGUAAGUAACUGUGCACAUCUUGACGGUACCUAAUCAGAAAGCCACGGCUAACUACGUG
rnacentral:rRNA from 1 species